GCUAGAUGUGUGGCGUUUAUUUCUUUUCUUUUAGUAUGGCGGCUCUGAAUCUACUGUGGUUGAAUUGUUUGGUAUUGGAGCUGACUUUCAUUCAACUCGUACUGAACCGACCUCAUGUUGAUAGCAAUGGUUCGGAUGUGAUUUGAAAGGCGUAUUGAGGGGCAUGACAUGGUGUGGAUAGGAAUGAUGAAACUGAAGAUGGUUUUUAACUAAAGACAUGGUUUAGAAUAGGCUUCCAACAUUGUGUCUUUAAAUUUUGUGAAGAUGUAAGGAUACUUUGGUGGGAUUGGAACGGUCGAAUGUAUUUGUAUUUUGAAAUUGGUUUCUGAAUUUUGUAAAGGGUUUUCUUUUAAUGACUUUUC